AUGAACGCUGGCGGCGUGCCUAAUACCUGCAAGUCGAGCGAACAGACGAGGAGCUUGCUCCUCUGACGUUAGCGGCGGACGGGUGAGUAACACGUGGAUAACCUACCUAUAAGACUGGGAUAACUUCGGGAAACCGGAGCUAAUACCGGAUAAUAUAUUGAACCGCAUGUUUCAAUAGUGAAAGACGGUUUUGCUGUCACUUAUAGAUGUAUCCGCGCCGCAUUAGCUAGUUGGUAAGUUAACGGCUUACCAAGGCAACGAUGCGUAGCCGACCUGAGAGGGUGAGCGGCCACACUGGAACUGAGACACGGUCCAGACUCCUACGGGAGGCAGCAGUAGGGAAUCUUCCGCAAUGGGCGAAAGCCUGACGGAGCAACGCCGAGUGAGUGAUGAAGGUCUUCGGAUCGUAAAACUCUGUUAUUAGGGAAGAACAAAUGUGUAAGUAACUAUGCACGUCUUGACGGUACCUAAUCAGAAAGCCACGGCUAACUACGUG
rnacentral:rRNA from 1 species